rnacentral:tRNA from 1 species
UCCCUGGUGGUCCAGUGGCUAAGACUCCACACUCCCAAUGCAGGGGGCCUGGGUUUGAUCCCUGGUCAGGGAA